GACGAACGCUGGCGGCGUGCCUAAUACAUGCAAGUAGAACGCUGAAGCGAGGAGCUUGCUCUUCUUGGAUGAGUUGCGAACGGGUGAGUAACGCGUAGGUAACCUGCCUUGUAGCGGGGGAUAACUAUUGGAAACGAUAGCUAAUACCGCAUAACAAUAGGUGACACAUGUCAUUUAUUUGAAAGGGGCAAUUGCUCCACUACAAGAUGGACCUGCGUUGUAUUAGCUAGUAGGUGAGGUAACGGCUCACCUAGGCGACGAUACAUAGCCGACCUGAGAGGGUGAUCGGCCACACUGGGACGGAGACACGGCCCAGACUCCUACGGGAGGCAGCAGGAGGGAAUCUUCGGCAAGGGGGGCAACCCUGACCGAGAAACGCCGCGGGAGGGAAGAAGGGUGUCGGAUCGUAAAGCUCGGUUGUAAGUCAAGAACGAGUGUGAGAGUGGAAAGUUCACACUGUGACGGUAGCUUACCAGAAAGGGACGGCUAACUACGUG
rnacentral:rRNA from 1 species